rnacentral:lncRNA from 1 species
ACAAAACAGACGACAUUUGAUGUGUCUUGUGAUAUGAUAUUACAAUUUUUUGAUGUUGAUUUAGUCCACACUUAACUGUGAUGCGUUUACUGAAAUUUUUCAAUCUUCUCUCUUCUCAGACGACAUAAGAUAUGUCGUGUGAUGUCGUAUCAGACGACGGCUAUUCUCCGUCGUCUGAUAGUCCAUCACUCGACAGCUCCUCAGACGACAUAAAAAAAAACAUCAGACUACAGACUUGGACUGUCGUCUGAUGAAGUAUAUGGCCUAGUGCCGGGUUUGUUGUUUACAACCCGGUGCACCAUUUCUUGGUGUAGGGGUUAGACCUGCAGGUGAGGAUCAGUAGGGUUGAGGUGGAAGAUUAGUGGCAGGGUUUUUUUUUGUUGGGUUUUGGUUGUUCAUUGUAUAUUCUUUUUUUUUAUACAUUGGGAUAGAAAUUAUUAAACUCAUGUGAGUGUUUCAUUUUCUUGUCUCUCAAGUUAUGUAAACAAGGAAAUAUAAUAUUUAACUCAAUUUGGAGUUGUGUGUAAAUUUACAUUCCGCAUUGAGUUUAUUUUCCUUGAAUUUUGUUGAAACAGGUUUUGGGAUAUUAAUAUUUUAAGAUAUAUCAUGCCAAAAUUUUAAAAAUUAUCUUUCGAAAAUUGGGGUGUGACAACAACACAGCAGGACGCGCUGCCACGGGCCGCCAAUGGCGGCGGCGAGUGAGCCCCACGCGCCACCACCAACUUUCAAAUUUGAGAAAACUUACAACAGCAAAGUUGAAGCUUGAAGCAAGGUGAACAACUUUAAUACUUGAGGUUUCAACCAGUUCGGCCAAAAAUAGCCGAAAAACGCCACGAAACACCAACCCGAAUUCAAAAUCCAAACCUGCAAAUCCGGCGCCCAAACUUGAUUUUUAGGUCACCAAAGAGGUAUAAACAUCUCUAGAGGAAGGAGAGGAGCAAGACUCACCUAACUCUUACCGAAAACGCCGUCGAAAUCGCCGGAUUUCCGGCGAUACCGUAGCAUCUCCGCCACUUUAUGGCGGCAUCUAGGCGGCGAGACGGUAGGCGGUGUUGCCCCAGAAAUGGAGAGGGAACCUGCACGAGUCGAAUGGGACCGAUGGAGUCCGGUUUGGUGGCCGGAUGAGGGAGAACUCGGCUGGAGAAGAGAGAGAGCUCGGGAGCGUCGGGAGAGAGAGGAGAGAGAGAAGUGAGCUGACUUUUAGGGUUUCCAAAUUAACCCACACACAUUUUUCUACUUACACACUUUCCAAACCCGAAAACUAACUUCCUCUGCCUAUAACUUUCUCAUACGACAUCUGUUUCAGGCGUGCCGCAUUUUUACGAACUUGUAUCAACAAGCUCUACAACUUUCAAGAAGGAAGUUUUCGAAGAUAACUUACGGAAAAUAAAGUCAACUUUUGGCCUCUUAAAAGUCAAAGCACCUUAAAAUUUACUCCCGAAACUUCAACUUCGCACAACUAAAGAAUUUUCACAAAUAAUCCUUCAUUAAUUAUGGGAAUAAUACAAGAAAAAUGAAAUGAAAAUUUUGGGGUAUUACAGGGAAUACAUGGAGUUGAGGCAUAGUUAAUACUAUAGCUUCCGCUUAUUUGUAUAUAUAUAUAUAUAUUUUUUUGUUUUUUUGUUUUUUACCAUUAGAGUUGCUAUGAAAUAAUUAUGAAUGUUGGUUAUUGGACUAUUUUUUUAGAUUAGUAAAUAACUUGAGAGGUUUUGUGAAUUUGGGGAGUAUGAAGGCUCCAAGAGUAUAUAAGGUUGGAGUUUGAUUUUUAGAAGUGUUUGAAAAUGUUUUUUUUUAAUUUUUUAGGAAGGGUUGUCCAUUUUCAAGGGAGGUUAUGCCGAAUUUUUGGUAGCAUCUUUUUUGGAGGUGGUCCCGGUAGAGUUCAUUUCGGGGUGGUCCUGACAAUAUUUAUUGUAAAGUAAUAUAAGUUUUGAUGGUAAAGUAUUAUGGUGUGUUUGGAUACGGGUGAAUUCCUAGGAAUUUAAUCAAAAAUAAGGAAUUCUUAAUUUCUCAAGACUCUUUCCAUCGUUUGGAUUCUUAUUCCGUAGAAUUUUCCAUGGGAAAAUAAUCGUGGAAUUUGGGGGCUUAAAUUCCCGACUUAAAUUCCUCACAAAAUAGGCGUCAUUUGUCAAUUCUUUUAACUCAUGUUAGUCUAAAUACAAAUUCUUGUCAUUUUAAAACUCUACAUCAUAUAAUCCAAAGAAUAGAAUUUCCAAUUAAUAGAAUUUAAAUUCAAGGAAUUGUAAUUCCAGUGAUUUUAAAAUUUCUAUAGAAAUUGAAAUUAUUUUAUCUAAAUACAACAAAGUAAUAUAUGGUUAGUGGUAUAUAUUAUUUCAUUGCAAAUUAGCUAUGUUAUAUGAACUGAUACUUCAUUCAUUAGCUCUGCAUGGUAACUAGAGUGCUUAUAUAUAUUUUUUAAUGUUCCUUGUACUUAUUCACUGCAAUGUAAAAUAUUAAAUAUAUGAAUAUAUCUUAUGAUCAUUUCAGUUUAAGGACAAGACAUACAAUCAACGAAAUAAUGAACCAAGUAGCUUUAGAUUAUUAUACAUUUCAUUCUUUUCAGUCAUUUGAAUGUUGUUUCAUUAUCUAAGCUAUUAAGUAGAAACCAAGUAGCUCAUACUGAAUAUAAUAGGAUGUACUAAACCAGUUACCACUUUGCUGUUUCAAUCAUAUUGAUAAUGAUUUCCAGCAACAAAAGGCUUUGUUUUUUUUAAGAAAAACUUACUAAAGCAUUGUUAUAUUCAGUUUGGCAGGAGACACUUGAUGAGUAAAUGGUGGAUAUUGAGUUUGGUUAUGAAGCAGGAUGUAUCAUAGUACACCAUUACAGUUAGGAGGACUUUCUGCACUCUAGUGUACACCCACCAUUGUAGUUGCUUGUAUUUGGUUUGAUGUCUCUUUUUUGUAGUUUUUCAAGUUAUAUAUGGAACGACAAUUGUAGAUGUAUUAUAGGUCUUUUGAGAAAUAUUAGUAUAGAAAUGGAUCAAACACAGAUAGAACAAGUAAUUUCAAUGGCUUGGUGCAAAACCUCAAUGAGGGAAAAAGCACCAAGCAUGAUUAUUCCUUUAAUCUUCAAAAGAUUACAAGUGGUAAUUCUCACACAAUUACACAACUCAUACAAUGUUUUCUCUUCUUACUUCUCACACAAGUAACUUAAUUCAAGUAGCUCUAUCAAGUGAAAUUGAAUUGAAAUUCUGAGAUCUCACUCACUCAGCUAUACUAGUUCUCACACAACUAAUACAUACUGCAACUAAUUCUCACACAAUUAGUCUUUAUACAGCAACAACUAAGACUCAAACACUCUUACUUCUUCUCUCAGAAUUUAUCGCACAUCAAGAUGAUACUCUGAUGAAUAGCUUGAUUCUUUAACACAACCAGUUUCUCAGCUUCUUUUAGACUCGACUUCUCAGUAUGUUUUUGUUCUCAAAACUCAAAUGCAACCUGUAUGCAAGUAAGAAAAGAGAAACUCAGUCUAUCUUAGAUAUACACAAUCUUAGAUAUACACAAGUAGUUUGUAAGAUGAGCAUGAACACACAAUUAACUUAGAGACAAUGCUUAACACAGUUUUUUCUCAAUCAUACCAAAAAGCUUAUCUUUCUAAGCACAACAGAAGCAAUUUAUAGAGUGUGAAACACUCCCCCUUAACUGAUGCCUUUCAAUGACAAGAUCAAAUUUCGUUUAUGAAAAUAUGCAAUCAGUCCACCAACAGUUUGCACUUUCCAAAACGCAUAUACCAGUUUCAUGCUAUAACAUAACCAUUAGAUAAAACAUAAAUCAUUUUCUUAAUCACCUGAGAACAAUGAUUAUGCAUAUAGAAUCAGACAUGUUUAUGCAGGUACUGAUAUGUACAUUACUGAUAUGGAAAUAAGAUAUCCUGCAUAUUAUCAAUUAAUGUUUCCGAAAUGGAAGUCUUUAGAAAUAAGACUUUUCCAAAAUUUCAUCAUUCAAAAACUUAUCAACUUGAAAGCCAGAUCUACUUACCAUAUAUGAGAUAUUAAAAUCUCAUUACCUUGAUCUUUUGACAUGAUACCUUUGAUUAUAUCUUUGAACUAGACUUUAUGAUUUUUCUUGAUAUGAAAUCUUCUUUCCUCUUUUCCUUCCUUCAUUAGGAGUCCUUGUGUUGAAUAGGAAUAGCCAAUAUGCCAACAUUUUCCCCCGUUGGCAUUGCUAUUCAACACAAGAUCAAGACCUGUAAAACAGACACAGAACCAACAUAUAUAUACAGAAAGGAAAGCAGGCUUAAAGAUUUUCGAAUUAGUAUCCAUCAUUUUCUCAAUCUUCAAGAUAAAAAUCAAAAGAAGACACAAAAUAAUAAAUGACUGCAUGCAUAGUUCAAAGAAAACACAAAAUAUGUCUAGUGCUUAGGCACUUUUACAAACUAGAAAUAAGAUUUGAUGUUCUAGUCAUCGAAAAUCAAAAAGCAGAAAAUAAAACAAGAAAAUUGUUGUUGAUCCUUGAUCUUAAACAAGCAAACUGUUCUUGAUCCUUGAUCUUAUUCUCCCCUUGAAUAGCAAGCCAAAGAAAUAAUUACCACUUGCCCCAUUUAUCUUCAUCUGAAUAUUUCAUCUUUUCUUCUAGCUCCCAAGGAUUGAAUGGUUUCUUGGAACGAGGGUCAGCAGCCUCAUCCUCCUUCAUGAAAUCAAGAGAGCGCUUGGCACUUGAUGGUUCUGCAGUAGAAGCUUUUGGUUGAAAACCAAGAGGAACAUCUGAGUCAGCAAUGCUAGGAAGAUGGUGAGUAAGUUCAUUGAUUCUCCUUCCCAUGAUCAGAACAGCUUCAGUAAGAGCACCAAUCUAAGUCUGAAUGUCUUGUGCUCAGUCACUGGUCACCUUUUCCAAAGAAUCAAGAUAGACUGCUAUCUUGUUAGGAUCUGAAUCAUUUUCUAGGGGCACCAUAGGACGCCAUGGUUUGCCUUCAUACCAAGUGCCCGGGAAUGUCUUUGCCUUGUGAAACUCUGAAUGAAGCCUUGGAGAGAGAGGUGGAGGAGAAGAUUCAUCUAGAGGAGAGGGCACUGGCCUCCCUAUCCUAUCUAGAGAAAGGUUGGGAAGCAUUGGUUGUUUAUCCUUUGCCAUCAAAUAUCUGAAGUGAUUCCUGCACACAAAAACUGAAAAACCUAGUGAAGAAACUGUGUGGGGAAUGAAAAACUGCAGAGGCACCUCUUUAUAGGAAGGAAUACAGAAGUUGAAAAGGAAUGACGGUUCCUGAAAAGGCAUGCAAUAUCAAUGGACUUUAUUAGCAAUAUUGACUACCAUAACAAAUUUUCUUCAGUUCAAAGCCCAUUCCACAUGUCCACACAAUUUGAAAGACCAGAAAAAGUGGAAAAACAGAUGCAAAUCUCUAUUGCAAUCUUUUAGACUAACUCUGAAUCUCCUCUCAUUAGUGAAGGGAGAAAAUAAUUAAGGCAAAACACACAAUGAAGUAGAAGAAAUUUCUGUGUUGUUCAUAACUAAGCAAAGAUAAGAUCAACAAUCAAUUGUAUCCCUGUGUGUCUCAGCAGAAGUAGAAUUUGAGCCAAGUGACAGUUAGGAAUAGACAUGAAUAUUCUCAGAAAGGAUUCUUAUUUUUAGCAGGAGUUACAAACAACAACCAACUUUGUUCAUAACAACUAAAAAUACCAAGUGAUCAAGCCAUUCCUGUUUCUCCCCCAGUGUCUUAUAUUGUUCAUCACAACCAAGACAUGGUUACUUUAGGAAUAGCCUGGCCUGAAUGUGAGAUUCUUAUGUUUUUAUCUCACAUAUUAUGAACACCUAUAGAGUAAGUCAAAUGCAGCAACUCCCAAAUCAGUUGAUUUUAGGGUACAAGAUAUCCCAAGGCAUCAAUACUCAAGUGUCUGAUCAUUUUAGCCAAACCAGCUUUGAUCAACCUCCAUGCAUAUCAGCUAUUUAAAGAGGCCGCAAAUUUACUGCAAACAAUCAGCUUUUGGUCACAUUCUUUUGCAUUCUCUUAAUCACAUUUCCCUUUUUGCAAUUAUUGUUCCUAUCCCUGAGAAAUAUCAUGUCCAUUGUGUGUGUGUGCUGGCAUCAAAAGGUAUUUCUUGACAAGGCAUACAAGCAUCAAAAAUAUUAACCAGACUCACACCAUAUUUAGUUAUGAACAACCAUCUGAUUUCUACACAUCAUGGAGCUAAGAUCAAUAAUCAAAGACAAACUGUACAUAUGUUAUAAGAACCAUUUCAAGAGUUUAGACAUUAAGAUAGGGAUUUUUGCAAAUGCCUAAAGCAUUUCUGAGUUCUUCAAAUCGAUCGGUAGCAAGGGGUUUAGUGAAAAUAUCACCAAGUUGAUUAGCAGUAGAUAUGUAUUCCAUUUUUAGAAUAUGUUUCUCAACUAGAUCUCUGAUAAAAUGAUACCUGAUAGCAAUGUGCUUAGUCUUCGAGUGUUGCACUGGAUUUUUUGUGAUGUUGAUUGCACUGGUGUUGUCACACAGAUUAGUGUUGUCACACAGAUUAGUGAACUUACCUUGUGACAUCCUAUAGUUCCUUAGCAUAUUUUGCAUCCCCAACAUUUGAGUACAGCAGCUACCAGCUGCUACAUAUUCUGACUCAGUUGUAGACAAAGAUAUACAAUUUUGCUUUUUGCUAUGCCAAGCAACCAUAUUGUUUCCCAAGAAAAAACAUCCACAUGAUGUGCUCUUGUUAUCUUUAAGACUUCCUCCCCAAUCAACAUCUGAAUAACUAACAAUCUCUGCAUUAGUAUCACAAGUAUAUCUAAUUCCACAUGAAACUGUACCUGACACACAUCGAAUGAUUCUCUUGACUGCAGCUAAGUGUGAUUCUUUUGGAUUUGCUUGAAAUCUUGCACACACCCCAAGACUGAAUGAAAUGUCUGGUCUGCUUGCAGUGAGGUAAAGAAGACUGCCUAUCAUGCUUUGAUAUAAGGUUUGAUCUACUGGUUUCUCUUCUUUAUCAUGACAAAGUUUGACUGAAACACUUAUUGGAUUUGAAAUGCACUUCUUUGUUUCAAGACCAAACUUCUUCACCAAGUUCUCAGCAUACUUUGUUUGAGAUAAAAACAUUCUUGUAUCAUGUUGCUUUAUUUGAAGGCCAAGAAAAUAUAUUAAUUCACCACACAUGCUCAUUUCAAAUUCAUUGGUCAUAACAGAAGUAAACUGUUGGACCAAAGAAUCUGAAGUAGAGCCAAAAACAAUAUGAUCAACAUAUACUUGAGCAACCAUAAAAUGUUCUUUUUCAGUACGCACAAACAGUGUUUUAUCAACUUUACCUCUUGCAUAUCCUUUACCUACCAAAUAUGUAGAUAACUUGUCAUACCAUGCCUUGGAGCUUGUUUGAGACCAUACAAGGCUUUCUUUAGCUUGUACACAUGAUUAGGAUGAUGUGGAUCUUGAAAACCUUUAGGUUGUUCCACAAAGACUUCCCUCCUCUAGAAGACCAUUUAAGAAUGCAGUUUUGACAUCCAUUUGAUAGAGCUUGAAUCCUAGAUGACAUGCUAUUGCUAGUAGUAAUCUUAUGGAUUUAAGUCUAGCUAUUGGUGCAAAAGUCUCAUCAAAAUCCAAACCUUCAACUUGUGAGUAUCCUUGACCCACUAGCCUGGCUUUGUUUCUCACAACAUUUCCAUGCUCAUCACUUUUAUUUCUGUAGAUCCAUUUAGUUCCUACCACAUUUCUUGUUGUUGGUCUAGGAACUGGAUCCCACACUUGAUUUCUUGUGAACUGAAGCAAUUCCUCUUCCAUUGCCUUGAUCCAGUUAUCAUCUGUAAGAGCUUCCUUCACAUUCUUAGGUUCAAUUAGUGAGACAAAACCAAAAUGAGAAAUAAUAUUGAUAUUUCCUUGAUUUUGAUUUAGAAAACAUACCAAUGUUGCAUCCUUAAUUACCUCUCCUUAAGUUGCUCGUCUUCUGGUUAUAAUUCCUUCUUGCAUGUUUCCAAUAACAUCUAUCAUAGAAUGAUCCUUUUUUACUUGUCUAAAACCAGUUCUUGUUUUAGGCACUUGUUGGAGAUUUGAAUCAAUAGACUCAUCAGCUUCACUUCCAGUUUCAGCCUUACCAUUUAACUCAGUUUGAUCAUGAUCGGUAGUUUGACUGUCAUCUAAUAUUAUCUGUCUAUCAAAAAAUUCAUCCACAUACACAUUAAUAGAGACUAGGAAAGAUUUUGUUUCUUGUACACCCUAUAAGCUCGGCUAUUUAAGGAAUAUCCCAGAAAAAUACCAAUUUCACUUCUUGUUUCAAAUUUUCCCAAAUAUUGUCUAUCCUUGAAAAUGUAACAUGGAUUUCCAAAAACAUGCAAAUGACUUACAUUGGGUUUCUUACCUUUCCACAGCUCAUAGGGAGUAUUGUUGGUGCCAGGUCUGAGCAUUACCCUAUUUAUGAUAUAGCAUGCUGUGUUGAUUGCCUCAGCCCAAAUUUUUUGACUCAGUCCAGAAGAGUGCAACAUCACUCUUGCCAUGUCCAGUAGAGCUCUAUUUUUUCUUUCAACAAUACCAUUCUAUUGUGGAGUAGUAGGAGCUGAAAAGUUUCACCUUUAUCUGCAAGAAAAUAUACCCACGUAAAUCUUGUAAAAUCAUCAACAACAACCAAAAUAUAGCUCUUUCCUAUAUGACUUUCAUAUUGAGAUGGACCCAUUAGAUCCAUGUGCAGUAGCUCCAUUGCUUGAGAUGUAGGAAUUGAGUUGAUACUUUUAUAUGCAGAUCUUAACUGUUUCCCCAUUUUACAUCCUCCACAGAUUUUAUCUGUUCUAUCUCUGAGUUUUGGCAUGCCUCUUACAAUUCCUUGAUUUGACAAUUUUAACAAGUCCUGAAAGUUUACAUGACCAAGUCUUCUAUGCCAAAGAUCAAAAAUUUCCUCUGUGGAACUUGUUCCCAUACACAUCUGCACAUCAGGUGAAUCAUUAGCUAAUACAUGAUAUGACACGACCCACCCCGAAUUUCACCCUGAAACCCGGAGUAAGUCGUGCGGGGACCAUCUCCAAGGAAAAUUUACUGAAAAGAUUGAUAAAAUCUCCCUUGAAAAUGGACAACCCUAACUCGAAAAUUUCAAAAUACACUCUUAAUACAACACGUCCAAACAUCAUAUAAUUAACCUUCAGAAAUUCUAAACAUAAAAUACAGUAAUCCCAAAGUAUUCAGAGCUACUAGACACUAGCGGAAGCGAGAAAACACGAGUAGGUUAAACAUGUAACCUACUGAUGAAAACUGGCGGAAAUACGGGUGACUAUGCCUCGCCUCCUACUAGAUCCAACCCGAACUCUGCAGACUGGGCAAUUUAAAACGAAGAGCCCAGGGGAAAACAUGUGGAACAGUUAGAGUGAGUGGACAAAAAUAAAUUAAAAUAAAAGUAUUUCUUUAUGCUUCCCCAAUUUAAUUUCCAAAUAAAAUAAUACUGCAUGCAAUCGCUCAAAAGCGCUCAACUCAAAAACUGGCAACUUCACAACCAGCACCGGCUAGUCUCCAAAACUUAAUAAAAUACAGCAUCUCAAGCUAAAUUAUAUAUAAACAUAUAUAAGUGUAUGUAUUUACACUAGUCAGACUCCUUGUAUGAAUUCUAAAAACAAAUUAGAAAAAUAGAAAUUCAUAGAAGGUUACUAAGCUUGCGUCUAACGCUCACGUCACACCAUAAUGGAAUUGUAUCUCAGUAUGGCGAAAAAAGCACGAGUGUAUAUAUGUGUGGACUCCCUAUAUGAAAACCUAAAUAAACCAAAUAAGAAAAUAGUUUUCAUAUAGGGCUACUACGCUUGUGUCUAACACUCACGUCACACCAUAAUGGUAUUUUACCUCAUUAUGGCGGAUCAAACACGUAUGGCUAGCUAGCAUUUAUAUAUACAUACUAUCAUCAUAAACAUCCAAUAAACAUAUCCACCGAAAAUCUCAUUUUCGGGAUCUCUCCAAAGGAGGAAAAUUGCCAAAUAUCCGAGAAAUAAAUAAAUCUCAGGAAAAGAAAUAAAUGAUCAACAGAUAAUUCAUCGCAUGCUUUUCAAUUAAAAUAAAGGUCCACUCACAACUUAGGCCUAAGCCUGAUGACGCUCCGAGGCUUCCUCUGCUCGGGCCUCCUCUCGUCCUGUUCCAAAUAUAUAAUUAAUUUCCCACCAAAAAUCCAAUAAUUAAACAAAAUGGGCAAAAUUAAACGUGAGCCUCCCACACACUCAUCAUUGCCCAAAUUCGCCAUUCUUAACUCAAUACGGCUCAAACUUCGCCGAACAUACCGGCAGCCGUAAAAACAACUUCCCACAGAAUACGACUUAAAUCCUACGGCCGGAUUCUACAUUAAUUAACCGUCAAAAAAUACCAAAGUAAAUAACCGUAAAAUAACUUAAGAACCGGGGUGUGACAUGAUAACAAUUAUCAACUGAUCUAACUCCACCCAUUAUGUAGUCUCUCUUGUUGUUCAGAACUUGACACUUCUUUUUGUUGAACCAAACAUCUUCAAAAUCAUUUGUCAGUUGACUAAAACUCAGUAAAUUUGUAUUCAAACCUUCAACAUACAAUACAUUUUCAAGGUUUGGAAUGUUUGGUGUGUUGACAAUCCAUUUUCCUUUGAUUCCUGCUUGUCCUCCAUCACCAAAUGUAAUAGUACCUGAAAUAUUUCUGUUAGUGAAAGAAAUAAACCAUUCUUUGUUACCACACAUGUGUCUUGAACACUCACUGUCUAUGUACCACACAUCACUCUUUUUGCUGGAUAAAGCAGUCAAUGCAACUAAGCAGGUUGCCAUAAUAUGAGUUUCAUUUGAGUAGACAGAUGCACUCAGGCAAAAAGCUUGUAUUUCUUCCUUCUCUUCAUUCCUUGUCCAGCAUUUCACUCCUCUUCUUUCCUGCAUUCUUUCUUCAUAAAUCAUGUUAGACAUUUGACGAAUAAGGUUCAUACGUUCAUUCAUUUCUUUAUGUAGAAUUUCAAAUUUAUCACCCUUAGCAGUAUAUUGAGAAGAUCCAUUUAUGCAAUUUGGUCUGAUAUGACCAAUCUGUCCAUAGUGAUAACAAGUAAGAACAAAAGGUUUCCUCGAAACAUACCUUUUCUCAGUCGAUUUAGGAAUGACUAUUUUUACUUGUUGUUUUUCUUCAGUUUCCAACACUAGUUGUUCUUCCCCUUUUUCUUUAACAAACCUUGUGACAUUGGAGCUUUCACCAGUGUAUCCAAGUCCAAAUGUAUCCUUAUGUGCUUUUCCUAUACUGAGAAUAUUUGAGACUAUCUUUGAACUUGUUUGAAAUUGACUAAAUUUUUCCCUUGACUUUCUCAACUCAGCCUGCAACAAAACAAUUUCAGAGUUUAGCUCAUUAAUUUUCAAAUCUCUUAACUCUAUUUUAGAUUCUAAAUUUACACAACUACUGCUAAUGAACCAGUGUUUUUGAUAUUUUCAUUCUUCAACUCAGUUUGCAACUUUUGAAUACUGUUGUUGAACUCAUUUCUUUCAUUUUCCCAAAACUCCUAUUCAGACUGCAAUAUGUUUUCAGUUUUCUCUUGCUGUUCUGGUUCCUGGAGAACCUUCACCUGUUUCUUCAAGACAUUAUUCUUGUUGUUCAAGAUUUUUGAGGCAUUGUACAAUUGAUCAUAUUUGUCGUCUAGUUUCCUCCUGUCAAAAAAAUCAUCACUAGAAUCAUCAUCACUAGAACACACACUGUCAGUAUCAGAAAAAGACUCACAUGAGUCAAAUCUUAUAGAAGAAACGAAAGCAAAGUUCCUUUCUCCUUUUCUGAGGGAAUGUUCUUCAUCACUAUCACUCUAGGAAGUAGCUUUGAGUGCCCUUUUUUCACCAGUGCCCCUAUCCUUGAAUUUUUCACCUGCUUCAUUCUUUCUAUUCCCACAAUCAGUUGAAAUAUGACCAUAACCAUCACAUUCAAAGCAUUUCGGUCUAUAAUUCUUCAUUUCAAGCUUGUUAUGACUUCUAGAGUUUUUCUCAAAUCGAUUUUCAGAAUUUUUAUUUCUUCUUGAAUCAUGAAAGUUUUUAGAAGAACUAGAAUUUUGAUUGUUCCUAGAUUUCAAAAGUUUUUUGAAUUCCUUUGUGAGCAAAGCAUAAUCAAUAUUUUCAUCUUCCUGAUCAAUUUUAGAAGAGUUUUUCAAAGCCACACUCUUCUGUUUCUUAUCAGACCAAGAGCUAUCAGCAAUCAUUUUUAAUUCAAAGGUUUUAAGAUUACUUACUAAAUAUUCCAGAGAAUAUUUAUUUAAAUUGUGUACCUCCAUGAUAGCUGCCUUCUUGGGAAGGUACUUCCUUGGCAAAGCUCUAAGAAAUUUUUUCACCACCUUGUGCUCCUCAAACGGUUCAUUCAAGCUCUGACAUUGACCUAUAAUGUUAGUUACCCUUAAAUAAAAAUCAUUAAGCAACUCAUCCUCACCCAUUUUUAAAUUUUCAAAUUCUUUAGCAAGAAUCUGAAGUUUCUGGAUUUUGACAAUCUCACAUCCUUCAUGUGAAGUAACAAGCAUGUCCCAAGCUUCCUUUGCAGUGUCACAGUAUUGAAUACGCCUUCUUUCCUUAACACCAAGUGCAGUGAAUAAUGCAUUUUUAGCAACAUAAUCAGCAUUACAUAAGGCUUGCUCAUCUGCUGACCACAAGUCGACUGGUUUUAAUUGAACUCUAGAUGUAUUCUCUGAUUUCACAACUGGAGCUUUGUAACCUGAUUGAAUAAUUUUCCAUGCCUUUGCAUCCAAGGUGUAUAUGAAUGUUCUCAUCAUGAUCUUCCACUGUGGAAAAUCAUCACCAUCAAAUUUUAGAGGUUGAUUUACUGCAUUUCUUUCCAUUUCAAAAGUGGAUCUACUAGACACUUACUAGCACUUGCUCUGGUACCAAAUAUUAGUAUAGAAAUGGAUCAAACACAGAUAGAACAAGUAAUUUCAAUGGUUUGGUGCAAAACCUCAACGAGGGAAAAAACACCAAGCAAGAUUAUUCCUUUAAUCUUCAAAAAGACUACAAGUCGUAAUUCUCACACAAUUACACAACUCAUACAAUGUUCUCUCUUCUUCUCACACAAGUAACUUAAUUCAAGUAGCUCUAUCAAGAGAAACUGAAUUAAAAUUCUGAGAUCUCACUCACUCAGCUAUACUAGUUCUCACACAACUAAUACAUACUGCAACUAAUUCUCAUACAAUUAGUUUUUAUGCAGUAGCAACUAAGACUCAAACACUCUUAGUUCUUCUCUCAAAAUUUAUCACACAUCAAGAUGAUAGUUUGAUGAACAGCUUGGUUCUUUAACACAACCAGUUUCUCAGCUUCAUUUAGACUUGGCUUCUCAGUAAGCUUUUGUUCUCAAAACUCAGAUGCAACUUGUAUGCAAGUAAGAAAAGAGAAACUCAGUCUAUCUUAGAUAUACACAAGUAGUUUGUAAGAUGACCAUGAACACACAAUCAACUCAAAGACAAUGCUUAACACAGUUUUUUCUCAAUCAUACCAAAAAGCUUAUCUUUCUAAACACAGUAGAAGCAAUUUAUAGAGUGUGAAACACUCCCACUUAACUGAUGCCUUUCAAUAACAAGAUCAAAUUUCGUUUAUGAAAAUAUGCAAUCAGUCCACCAACACUUUGCACUUUCCAAAACGCAUAUACUAGUUUCAUGCUAUAACAUAGCCAUUAGAUAAAACAUAAAUCAUUUUCUUAAUCACCUGAGAACAAUGAUUAUGCAUAUAGAAUCAGACAUGUUUAUGCAAGUACUGAUAUGGACAUUACUGAUAUGGAAAUAAGAUAUCCUGCAUAUUAUCAAUUAAUGUUCCUGAAAUGGAAGUCUUUAGAAAUAAGACUUUUCCAAAAUUUCAUCAUUCAAAAACUUAUCAACUUGAAAGCCAGAUCUACUUACCAUAUAUGAGAUGUUAAAAUCUCAUUACCUUGAUCUUUUGACAUGAUACCUUUGAUUAUGUCUUUGAUCUAGACUUUAUGAUUUUUCCUGGUAUGAAAUCUUCUUUCCUCUUUUCCUUCCUUCAUUAGGAGUCCUUGUGUUGAAUAGGAAUAGCCAAUAUACCAACAUUCUCCCCCUUUGGCAUCGCUAUUCAACACAAGAUCAAGACCUGUAAAACAGACACAAAACCAACAUAUAUAUACAGAACGGAAAGCAGGCUUGAAGAUUUUCGAAUCAGUUUCCAUCAUUUUCUCCAUCUUCAAGAUAAAAAUCAAAAGAAGACACAAAAUAAUAAAUGACUGCAUGCAUAGUUCAAAGAAAACACAAAAUAUGUCAAGUGCUUAGGCACUUUUACAAACCAGAAAUAAGAUUUGAUGUUCUAGUCAUCAAAAAUCAAAAAGCAGAAAACUUAAAAUAGACUCUACCAGGCUCUAAGCUGCUUCCGCCAUUGUCUAACACUUAUAAUAGAUUUAUAUUGUGAAAUAGUUUCUCUCUAACUCAAAAAGAAGUUGAGCUAAAAUAAGAUUGCACCUAAAACCUGUUCUAUUUUCAUUCAGCUGAUCAAGUGGAUCCGGUAGCCCACUUGUCUUUGGAAGAGGAGAGGAGCACGCGCAAUGAAGGCUAAAGAAAGAAACACACCAAUUCAAAAAGGACAAAAUAUUCUUCAAAAUAAGUUUGCAUUCUUCCAAAGGCGAGUGAUUUUUUUUUUCCUAACCUGACGAUGAUAGAUACGACGAGGAGAGUGUUGAAAUUUCCAGAUAUGAGAUUGCCGCAACAACAUCAGUGAUAUCGUCAUCUUCGGGGAAAGAAUCGAUCUGCAAUAAAAAUUGGGGGAGAUGGCUGAGUAGGUGAUGGUCGAGGGCUGAGUGAGAGAGAAGGGAGGGCUCGCGCAGGUGUUAAGGAGAGAGAGUUGAAGGGCUAAGGAGUUUGUUGGGAGAAAGAGGCUGGGGAUUUUUGGGAGAGACCGAUGAGAAAGCUGAGAGGCACGGUGGAAUGAACUAGAUUGUUAAAUGUGGGUUGAAUGGUUGAGAGAGAAAUAUGUUUUGGUUGCGCUGUUGAGGUUUUGGUUGGGUUGUAGUUUUUUUUUGUUUUGUUUAAGUGUUAGGGGAGAAUUUAAUUUUGGGCUGAAAUAUAGGGGAAGGUUUGAGCACAUCAAUAUUUCAGACAAGCGCCAAUUAAUUGGCAUUCAUUUCGACAAGUAAUCACAUGACGUAACAACUAUAAACGUGGUUUGAUGGCCAAAAUUUUAGGUUUCAAUAUUCCCUCCAUCACAUUUCGUGUUCCUUCUUACAAGUUUGGGGCUGAAUUUGGGGGAAUGUUGGAGGGAAAUAUUGGCGGACAUGGUUUUGCUGAAAAUACACACAAUUACACCAUAGUUUUUAUACGAAACGUCGUAUCACUCUUACAUGUUGGACACCUUACAACUUAGGAAGGUUGAUGCUCAAAUUUUUACACAUUCACACCACGAUUUCUAAAGAAACUGACAUCUAAAAAGUUAAAAAUUAGUCACACAACGGGUUCUCACUAUACAUCGUCUGAUAGACAUUGUCUGAUGCUGGUUUUUGUGGUAGUACUUGACAAAAUCGAUGAAGCUUGAUGGGGGGUGAGUACUCCUACUAAUACCCAAGAAAAAUUAUAAAAUGAACUAAGGACAUGGAAGGAGAGGAAGAAUGGAAUGAUGGUGAGGAGAAGGGAAGGGUGUGUGCGGCCGACUCCCAGAGAGAAAGAAUGAGAUAAUAGGUCAUGGCGUGGUUUAGCACCUUCAGCUUUGCAUUUGAGGGAAACAAGGUGCCAUGUGGCAGCUUGUCAUUGGUUGAGCUUGAGAGAAAUUGCACCUUGUGCACGUGAUGGAGAAGAUGGUCAAUUAAAUGAUCAAUUAAACAUCUGGGGCAUGUUUACUUACAUGGAAUGAAAUUGAAAAGUGAGGGAAUAAUUCUGGCAGAGGAGAAUUCCAGCGUUUACUUACACAUAAUAGAAUUGGAAUGGGUGUGGGUCCCACCUCCUAAUAAAGAAUUGAUUCCUUGACAACCCUGAAUUGAAAUACCAAGGGGGGAGGUGGGAUUAAGAAUGAUACCAUCAGGAAUGAACUUUUAUUCCGAAAAUAUCCUCUUUAAUUUUAUAUGCUAAUAAUAUUGAGGAAUUUGUUUAAGAUGCUAAUAAUUUCAAUUUUUUUUUUCUUUGGCUUCUCUUUAUUAUGCUAAUAAUAUAUUAUUUGUGGAAGUUUUGUUUUUAAUUUUUUUUUUUUUUUUUUUUUUGUAUUUACUAAUAUGUAUAAACAUAUGAUGUCCUAAUUUUGUUGUUCAACCCUUGCAACUUGCGGUUUGAGAUACACCCAAAAUGUUAGUACUAGGUCAAAAUGAUUUUGAUAAAUCAUGGUAGAAGAGAGUUUAUGCAAGGACGAGAUUGCAAUAUACACAAGCGCGCACGUAGUUCUGUAUUAUAUUAUUAAUAUAUAGCCACAUAAUUACAAUUAAUACACUGAAUAAGAAUAGUUCGUUUGGUUUGUUGAUUAUACAUAACUUAUCAAUUGAGACAACGACAAACAAAACUAUAUCAACAUAUAAGGAAAAAUUGUGUUGAGAGUGAUCGAAAUGUGUAACUUAUAUAUUUUUUUCAUGGGUAUUUAGUAAUUAAAAUAAUAAUAAAUUACAUUCAUGUUCUAAUUCCAUGGGGUAAGUAAACAGCUUAAUGAAAUUGAAAUCUCCAUAUACUAUUCCAUUCCAUCUCCCAUUCCUUCUGUCUUUCAUUCUUGAUGAAUUUCAUUCCAAGCAAGUAAAUGUGCCACUAAGGCAAAGAUUCAUUAAUCAAAAUGAUUAAUUAAUCACCAUAAUGCUUUCUUCAAUUUUCUUGAUGCUCGUCCGUAAUAUUAUCGCCUCUUGAUGUGAUAACGAUUGACCGACUGCGACUAUUUCAUUUUUUUUGUCAACAAUUCAUAUUUGCUCCAAUCUCGCAUAUUUUGUUCGUAUUUCUGCAACUCUGUUUAUUAUCUACAAAGUAAAUAAAAGUAGAUUAAUUAUAUCUCUACUAUUAGAAAGCCUGACACCCUAUUUGGUGUCAUGGUGAGCCUUUUUUUGAAUUACCUAAAAAACCAAAAUAAUAGAAAAUUCUCAAAGAAAAUAAGCAUAAGUUUCUAUGGGCAUAACUGUAAAACACCAUUAGAAUUUUAUGGAGAAAAAAAAGAUGUGGUUUGUUCCCACUUUUGAUAGAGCAGUUAUCUAAGAAAUAAGAUAAUCAGAUUCAUUCCACUUUAAGUAGAGCAGUUCAAGUUAAAUUUAUCUCAUUUGUAUACCCACGUGCAGAUGCAUAGGUAAAAAGCUAGUAUUAAAUAACCUAAAGACUAGCAUUAUUCACGUGUAUAAAAAUACAUGAAAUUAAUACCUUGUGAGAAAUAUAGGAAUGUGAGGACGUUCCUAGCACCUUUGAUUGAAGUAAAAAUCAAGAGCAGUGUAAAAAUCAGGGGGAAUGUAGACUUUAGGGGGAGUCUAACACACAUACACUAUCAUACGUGCGUUGUGCUUUUUUUCCCUUCGACCGAAAUUUAUUUUAUCCCACUGGGUUUUGUUACUUGGCAAGGUUUUUAAUGAGGCAACACCAUAUGCACCAUUUCGUCUUUGACUUGGCACAAGGGGGAGUGUUGAAGGAAAAAACACAUUUAUAUGUAUCUUCGUCAAAGUCGUAAUUGACGAGAGUAAAUUAUGUAAUUAGUGAUCAAUUAGUGGAAUUGCUUCAUUAGUUAUCAAUCAGAUUUUAUUGUCAUUAUGUACGUUAUAGUUAUAUUUGUAAUAUCACCUCUAUAUAAAGAGGAGCUUCAAUGAAAUGAGUAGACCAAUUCUAUUUUUCCUAUUACACUAUUUUUUUUUAGACUAAUUUUAGUUUACCCCUAGCAACUUUAGAUCAAUCAUCAUGUUAGUCACUUUUCUUUCAAUUUCAUUAAAAACACCCUUGACUUCCGAUUUUCAUCAGCCGUGUCCAAAAAUCCGUUUUCUAUCUAAUUCCCUUGUCAUGUGAUGACUUGCAUUAAAAAGAAAACCAAAUUUGAAGUCGCUGGGCCCAUAGAAAAAAAAAUAGACAAAGUGCAUUCAAUCCCACCAAAAUCACUAAAGUUAGAGGUUAUGAUGGGAACGGAGAUGUCUAUCGAUAUGGGCAAAAAUGGUCAGAAAUGUUAUUUUUUUCAGAAUUUGACUUUCUUCUUGAUGUCACGUCCUCAUUUGACGGAGGAAUAAGAUGGAGAAUGGAGUUUUGGAUACGACUGAUGAAAAUUGGGAGUCGAGGGGCGUUUUUGAUGAAAUUAAAAGAAGAACGACUAACGUGAUGAUCGACCCUAAAGUUGAUGGGUGUAAAUUAAAAUUAGUUUUUUUUUUUAAUUCCACGAUUUUCUUGUUUAUCCAAACACACUCAUAAAAAAACUUUGGUGGGUAACUGAUACCUAGAUAUUACUCAUGUUGAAACAGUUAUGGCAAUUAUGAGUGUUGAUUACAUGUUAAUCAAAUUGAAACUAAAGCGUGCAAUAGAAGAAGAAGAAAGUAAAAAAUAAAUGAAAGUUGUUAUUGGCGCCACUAUAUCUGUCAUUGCUUUAACUUUAGAAUGCUAUCCUAUAUUUUUUGUCAACAAACCUUCACGUGUCUGGGAUCAAGAUGGAAAAGAGGUACAUUGUAUUAAGCGACUACGGGUCAGCUAGAGCGCAUUUAGAAGGUUAUGUGAGAUUCUACAAGGAAUUGAUGAGUAAGUAUGUACAAGAAAUGUAUCUAUUGAAGAAUCAAUAGUUAUAUUCUUGAAUAUACUUGCUACUAAUGUGUAGUACAUAAAAGUUGGUUUCUGUAUUAUCGUUCUAAAGAAAUAGUUAGUCAACAAUUCCAUAACAUGUUGUAUGCAAUGAUGAGAAUAAGUAAUAUUUGAAAUUACACUAAGCUGAUAUUAAUAGUUUAGAAAUAGAGAAGUGGAAGUAGAGAAGUGGAAGUAGUUUGAGGUAAUUCCUCUGUUUAUAGCGUGCCUUGAGGCGUGCUAAGGCUUAAGGGGCUUCUCUAUUUCAUCUCAAGGCUCCCCUUAAAAGGCUUUUAUCACAAAAGGCAAGGUAAAGGCACGCCUCAGCGCCUUGAGGAGGAAAAGACACCUUAAGGCGUCGCUAUUUGUAUGUGAUUUUUUUCUCUACCCUUAAAACUACGCCGUUUUGGUGAAAAUCCAAAGAGAAAAAAUAACGUUGUUUGACUUUUUUAAUUCAUUCAUUAGCAACUUCUCUCUUCUUCUAUUUUAGAUCAUGAGUAAAUGAUUUUAUGAUGUGUGUUUGUCAUUUAGAAUCUUAGACAUUAUGUUUGUGAUUUAGCUACUUAAAUUUCAAUUUUAAAUGUAUUAGUUAUUUUUAAUAAUUUUAUUUUUCAAUUAUUUUUUUUAAACAAUAGAGAUUUAUAAUGCAUGAAAGGCUUCGCCUUCAUUCAUGAGCCACUUUUCUCAUCUUCUCUUUCACAUCAUGAGUAAAUCAUUUGAUGUUGUUGUGUGUUUGUCAUUUAGAAUCUUAGACAUUAUAUUUCUGAUAUAGCUACUUAAAUUUCAAUUUCAAUGUAUUAAUUAUUUUUAGUAUUUUAUUUUUUAAUUUUUUAAUUUUUAUUUAAAAAAUAGAGAUUCAGAAUGCAUAAAAUGCUUCGCCUUUUCGCCUCAAAGCUUUCAAGGCUGGGGGCUUCAACAUGACGCCUCUCCUCAAGGUUGAGAAUUACCGAAUUUCGGUAAUUCUAUACCUUUUGAAAAUAUGUCAUUAUGUAUCUUAAUUUUCAUGUUACUUUUUUUUUCUUCUUUCUUUUAUCUUGCAUUUUGAAUUGUCAAAUGACUGUGUCGGUUGAGGAAAGAUCGAGAUGCCAGAAUAGAAACGGUGAUAUUGUACUAACAUUUUAGGAGUUUGUGCCCCAGAUUUAAAAUUUAUAUAUGUAUUGCCUAGAUGGGUGGGUUCUGCUUCUAAUGCUCGUGUCUUACAAUAUGUUUUACGUAGGAAUAACCGGCUCGGCUUUAUGUUUAAAGAGGUAAUUCGAUAUACUGGUUUUUAUUAAAUAAAAUCUCCUGUUAAGUAAGCUUCUAAUAUCUUACAUUUCUUUUGCAGAUAAAUACUUUUUGGUGGAUGCGGGAUAUACUAAUGGACAUUGUUUUUUAGCACCAUAUCGAGCAACUAGAUAUCACUUAAACGAAUGGACAGGAAAUUGACCUGAUAAUUAAUUACAAAUAGUUGUAUAAUCUUUGACAUUCAAUUGCAAAGAAUAAUUAAUGUCAUUGAAUGAUCAUUUGGGUUGUUAAAAGAGCGUUGGAGUAUAAUGUGUACGUCAUCAUUUUUCACCAUCAAAACAGAAGUUAGGAUUAUAAAUGCUUGUUGUGUUUUGCAUAAUAAUAUCUGAAUUAGCACGCUAGUGAUCCUUUGUUGGAAGAUCAAGAUUUAAGGUUUUUAGCACCUUUUGAUUUUGAGAUAUUAAAUCGUGCAUCAUAAGAGGUUCAUGCAAAUAAUUUAAGUGAUAGGAUUACAUGUGUUGAACCUAUUGACCAGUGAAGAUGUUCAAUAUUAUCACAUUUUCGUGACAAAUUUUCUAGAUUAUCAACCAUGACAAGCUGCAAAUCCAUGACUAUGAAACAAAAAAGCUUUUUUUUUUUUUUNUUUUUUUGAAAUGUGGUUACAUAAGGAUCUUUGCUGAAGUUAUAUUUUGAAUUAACCUUUGUUUAGUCCCUAAGGUUUACACAACUCAUCUACUUAGUCCUCAAAGUUUGAAAAUCAUCUAUAUAGUCCUCAAGGUUUUGAUUUCUCAUCUAGAAGGUCCUUUAGUUAAAAAAAACUGUUAAACUACUGUUUUUCCGUUACAAAAAGAUUAUUUAUUUUAUUAUUUAAAAAAAAAAAACUCUUAAAGGACUAGACCAAGCUUUUCCUAAGAACUAGCCUUCAACAUGCCAAUAAUUCACCUAAUGACCUCCUGUCUAAUGGUUACUAAUCAUGGCGGAAUCACUGCUGUCUUAGUAUGGGCAAGCCUAAUCACUUACAAAGUAAAGGUAAUCUCACAAAAAAGAAAUAAAAGGCAAAGAAAAAUAUUUUUGAGACGAAUAAUAGGGCAUAAGGUAGAAUUUAUUUAAUUUAACAUGAAUACAAAUACCAAACCCAGAGCCUUGCUCUCAGGUAAACAGCUAAAGGUUGUUUAGCUACUCAUAAGUUAUAUAUAAACACAAGUACUUACUUGUAAAUUUACAGCACACCUCACCAGAUGAUUACAGACUUCGAUCUAAAAACACUCUUAUUAUUCUCACACUAUUCUAAAGAUUGUAUAAUGACUCUCUUUAACUUCUUGAGAAAGGUUGAGAAAAUUUCAGAUUUCUGUUUCAGGUUCCUUCUUCGAUGCCUUCCUACUGAAGUUUGAGGCCCCUUAUAUAGAGAGCGGAUCCCGAACUAAAAAUAAAACACACUUAUUCAUAAUGGUGGACAAGAGGAAUCUUAUCUUGAUAAUUUUACCUUUUGAAAAAGUAAGUCGAAAGCUUUUAAGUUCUGGCAGCUACUUUUUAUCAAAAGAAAAGCUGUUUGUCGUGGUGUGUUGGCAACCGUUCAACUUUCCAACAUAUUCACAAUAUUGUGAUAUGUUUCAGGAUCUUCAGAAUAACCCACUGAGGAGUUGGGACCACUGUAUUCCCAAUCUCGUGCCGUGUCUUCAUCUCCAUUGUCGAGGUCUGAAUCAUAAGGAUAAGAAAUCUUAUACUUUUCUUCAGUCUCAACUUUUUCUAACCACGUAGUGGUAGCCAGAGUGCAGUCCACCUCUUUCCUCAUAAGGGCUGUGAAAAAGUCACAGUUCUCUGGUGGAGGGUGAUUGUAACAUGUGACCAUUAUUUUUUCUCCACUGGCUAAAAGACUUGAAUCAUAGUCUCUUAAAACCACGUCUUUAAUAAUUGCUAUGGUCAUGGCUUUCAUCCAAGGAAUGCUUUGAUUUGGUCUUCCAUUUCCACUGCCAAUAGCUGUCUUUUGAACCGGACUUUGGAUUAAUCUGACAUGAUGAUAUGGAGAAAUAUAAUUCAUCUGAUUAUUUACCACUGUCCAUUCUGGUGGAGUUGAAAUGAAUUUUAACCUUAGGAUACAACCAUCAGGUCUGAUAUUCUUGACUGCUUCAGCUAUUAUUUCUGGAAAGCCCUCCAGAUCUUCAUUAGUUUUUGUCCACAGAUUAUGAACAAAACUGUUUUCUACAAGCCAUAGCUUGUGCUUCUAAGGAUGUUCUGCUUGAACGUCAACUAGAUAUCUCCAAUAAUAUGGGCCAGGAACUACAGAUAAUGUUCUUGGUAGAACAUCUUUUCCUUCUCCUAAGAGAUUAUGAAAUUUAUACCAUUCAGAUUCUUUUAGUGCUAGCAUUGGUAUUUUAGCACUUUCAGGAUUUUCAAGGUAAAUAGCCUUAGAACUUCCUGCUUGAUUUUCUGCUGGAACAUCUUUGUCUUUUAUAUGGAAUCCAUACAACUCUUCAGUUAAAGCCUUGAGAGUUUGAAGCAAAUGAGCUUCAUUGUCUUCAUAAAAGGAAUACAGAAUAUUAUCAAUAAUAAUCUUCUACUUGAAAGGUAACAAUCUUUCUGUUCUGAAACUGGCUUCUAAAAGAUCUUCAUAGAUUGAUCAUGGAUAACCUUCUUUCCUGUGACUAUCGGUAUCUUACUUGCCCUAAGAGGGUCUCUUCUACUUUUUGGCAAAACAGCAGCCAUCAACGGACUUGAUAUGCCUUUAUCGUCUGCCGUUUGAGACGGGCUAGCCGGUCUUUUACCCUGAGACCGAUCAGUUGAGGCUGUUCCUUUCGGACACAGCAAAAACUCUUGUGCAAGCUUUUCUUCAUCAGAAGUAACAGACUGAUCUGUUUCUUUUUUAGAAUGGUCUGAAAACUCAUUCCAUCCUUGAUCUAGUUUUGGCUUGAUUCUUUCUGAAGGCUGGCCUGAUUCAACAGCUCCAUAAGAAACAAUGUAUUGAUAACCUGGUCCGUCAUGGAGAGGUCCUACGGUUUUAUCACCGCUAUUGUAUCUUUCCCAAAGCUUCUUUUCUUCUGAUAUAGAUUUCUGACUUCUAGUGUAAUACCCUAGAUUUUCAUAUCUAUUUUCCUUGUUUUAUUCCCUUAUUUUAAUGAAGGAUUAUUCAUGAAAAUUCUUGGGUUUAUGCGAAGUUGAAGUUCGGGAGUUUAUUUAAAGUUGCCUUGACUUUUAAUAGGCCAAAAGUUGACUUUAUUUUCCGUAAGUUAUCUUCGAAAACUUCCUUCAUGAAAGUUGUAGAGCUUGUCGAUACGAGUUCGUAGACAUGCGACACGUCUAAAACGGAUGUCGUAUGAAGAAGUUAUGUUCAGAGGAAGUUUGUUUUCGGGUUUGAAAAGAGUAUAAGUAGAAAAAUUGUGUGUGGGAUUAAUUAGAACCCUAAAAAUCAGUUUCCCUCCUCUCUCUCUCCUCCCACCCGAGCUCCCCGAGCCUUCACUUUCUUCAGCCGAGUUCUUCCUCCUCCGGCCACCAAACCGGACGCCACCGGUCCCAUUCGACUCCCACAGCAGCCCUCUCUAUUUCUGGAGCAGUUCCGCCGGCUGUCCCGCCGCCUGGAAGCCGCCACAAAGCGGCGGAGCUACCGCUGUCCCGCCGGAAAACCGGCGAUUUCGACGCCGUUUUCGGCCAAGUUAGGUGAGNNNNNNNNNNNNNNNNNNNNNNNNNNNNNNNNNNNNNNNNNNNNNNNNNNNNNNNNNNNNNNNNNNNNNNNNNNNNNNNNNNNNNNNNNNNNNNNNNNNNNNNNNNNNNNNNNNNNNNNNNNNNNNNNNNNNNNNNNNNNNNNNNNNNNNNNNNNNNNNNNNNNNNNNNNNNNNNNNNNNNNNNNNNNNNNNNNNNNNNNNNNNNNNNNNNNNNNNNNNNNNNNNNNNNNNNNNNNNNNNNNNNNNNNNNNNNNNNNNNNNNNNNNNNNNNNNNNNNNNNNNNNNNNNNNNNNNNNNNNNNNNNNNNNNNNNNNNNNNNNNNNNNNNNNNNNNNNNNNNNNNNNNNNNNNNNNNNNNNNNNNNNNNNNNNNNNNNNNNNNNNNNNNNNNNNNNNNNNNNNNNNNNNNNNNNNNNNNNNNNNNNNNNNNNNNNNNNNNNNNNNNNNNNNNNNNNNNNNNNNNNNNNNNNNNNNNNNNNNNNNNNNNNNNNNNNNNNNNNNNNNNNNNNNNNNNNNNNNNNNNNNNNNNNNNNNNNNNNNNNNNNNNNNNNNNNNNNNNNNNNNNNNNNNNNNNNNNNNNNNNNNNNNNNNNNNNNNNNNNNNNNNNNNNNNNUUGGUGUAAGGGUUAGACCUGCAGGUGAGGAUCAGCGAGGGUUGAGAUGGAGGCGUAGUGGCGUAGGGUUUUUUGUUGGGUUUUGGGUGUGUCUUUGUAUAUUCUUUUAUAUACACGGGGAUAGGAAUUAUUAAACUCAUGUGAGCGUUUCCUUUCUUGUUCUCAAGUUAUGUAAACAAGAAAAUGUAAUAUUUAACUCAAUUUGGAGUUGUGUAAAUUUACAUUACGCAUUGAGUUUAUUUUCCUUGAUUUUUGUUGAAACAGGUUUUAGGAUAUUAAUAUUUUAGGAUAUAUCAUGCCAAAAUUUUUUGAAAUUUAUCUUUCAAAUAAAAUUGGGGCGUGACAUCUAGGAUUGCGACCUUCUCUAUCAAACAUAGCCAUUUCUCUUGUGAGAGCGUCGGGCAAAUAGUUCUUGUCAACAUCAUAUUCAUAUUAGGUUAAAAACAUUUGCCAUCUCAGAACUCUUCCCCUAUCAGCAGCAUCAGUUAAUUUGUAAUUUUUGAAGUUUUUGACUCUUUUGUUAUCAGUUCUAACUACAAAUUUAUUUCCUAAGAAUGCCUCAGCACCCUUAAUGCUCUUAAUUAGGGCAAGGACAUCCUUAUCUC